GACGAACGCUGGCGGCGUGCUUAACACAUGCAAGUCGAACGGAAAGGCCCUGCUUUUGUGGGGUGCUCGAGUGGCGAACGGGUGAGUAACACGUGAGUAACCUGCCCUUGACUUUGGGAUAACUUCAGGAAACUGGGGCUAAUACCGGAUAGGAGCUCCUGCUGCAUGGUGGGGGUUGGAAAGUUUCGGCGGUUGGGGAUGGACUCGCGGCUUAUCAGCUUGUUGGUGGGGGAGUGGCUUACCAAGGCUUUGACGGGUAGCCGGCCUGAGAGGGUGACCGGCCACAUUGGGACUGAGAUACGGCGCAGACUCCUACGGGAGGCAGCAGUGGGGAAUAUUGCACAAUGAGCGGAAGCCUGAUGCAGCAACGCCGCGUGCGGGAUGACGGCCUUCGGGUUGUAAACCGCUUUCGCCUGUGACGAAGCGUGAGUGACGGUAAUGGGUAAAGAAGCACCGGCUAACUACGUG
rnacentral:rRNA from 1 species